rnacentral:sRNA from 1 species
UUAUGGGUGGGUGAGUGGAUAAGAUGACUAAUUGAUUGAUUUUCAUGGUUAGUAUUAUCUUACCCACACCACCCAUUCCAUAG